UACGGAGGGAGCUAGCGUUAUUCGGAAUUACUGGGCGUAAAGCGCACGUAGGCGGCUUUGUAAGUUAGAGGUGAAAGCCUGGAGCUCAACUCCAGAACUGCCUUUAAGACUGCAUCGCUUGGAUCCAGGAGAGGUGAGUGGAAUUCCGAGUGUAGAGGUGAAAUUCGUAGAUAUUCGGAAGAACACCAGUGGCGAAGGCGGCUCACUGGACUGGUAUUGACGCUGAGGUGGCGAAAGCGUGGGGAGCAAACAGG
rnacentral:rRNA from 1 species